rnacentral:lncRNA from 1 species
GCAGAUUAAGAUCCGCGAUGAUCUUGUCCUUGCAAACAAGAAACAAAUUAACCGAUCUCUCGACAAGGCUAGAGUAUAGCUAGCAUCCAUUUUUACAAAAAGAAGAAAGAAAAAGAAAAAAGAUUGCUAUCUACUACUGUAAAUCUACCAUCUUGAUUCUUGCAUACCUCUAACGACUGCAUGGAUUGAUAGAUGCAGUAUUGAUCAACGAUGCGAAUCACUCAUGUCACCUAUUGGCUACUUGAGCCGCCCGAUCACCUCCCCUUGCCGGCCGCCGCGUAGUUCGCCGCCGCCGCCGCCGUCCUGUCGCCAUCCUCCUCGGCCACCCCGGCGGCGCGGCACCUGACGACGACGCCGUCGCCCGGUCUCCUCCUCGCCUCCCUGUAUACCGCCGCCAGCGACCGGAACCUCGGCCUCCUCCUCGCCUCCCCGC